rnacentral:rRNA from 1 species
UGGGGAAUAUUGGACAAUGGGGGCAACCCUGAUCCAGCAAUGCCGCGUGUGUGAAGAAGGUCUUCGGAUUGUAAAGCACUUUCGACGGGGACGAUGAUGACGGUGCCCGUAGAAGAAGCCCCGGCUAACUUCGUGCCAGCAGCCGCGGUAAUACGAAGGGGGCUAGCGUUGCUCGGAAUGACUGGGCGUAAAGGGCGUGUAGGCGGUUUACACAGUCAGAUGUGAAAUCCCCGGGCUUAACCUGGGAGCUGCAUUUGAUACGUGUAGACUAGAGUGUGAGAGAGGGUUGUGGAAUUCCCAGUGUAGAGGUGAAAUUCGUAGAUAUUGGGAAGAACACCGGUGGCGAAGGCGGCAACCUGGCUCAUGACUGACGCUGAGGCGCGAAAGCGUGGGGAGCAAACAGGAUUAGAUACCCUGGUAGUCCACGCUGUAAACGAUGUGUGCUAGAUGUUGGGUAACUUUGUUAUUCAGUGUCGCAGUUAACGCGUUAAGCACACCGCCUGGGGAGUACGGCCGCAAGGUUGAAAC